UAUGUGAUCGUCUCUCGCAUAUCAAUAAGCGGAGGAAAAGAAACUAACAAGGAUUCCCCUAGUAACGGCGAGUGAAGCGGGAAGAGCUCAAAUUUGAAAUCUUAAAGGGUUUCCCUUUACGAAUUGUAGUUUAAAGAAGUGUUUUCUGUUGAGGUUUUGGUAAAAGUUCUUUGGAAUAGGACAUCAUAGAGGGUGAGAAUCCCGUAUUUGACCUUUACUUUCAACUUUGUGAUACACUUUCAAAGAGUCGGAUUGUUUGGGAAUGCAGUCCAAAAUGGGUGGUAAAUUUCAUCUAAAGCUAAAUAUUGGCGAGAGACCGAUAGCGAACAAGCACCGUGAGGGAAAGAUGAAAAGAACUUUGAAAAGAGAGUUAAACAGUACGUGAAAUUGUCAAAAGGGAAGCGUUUGACACCAGUGUUGUUUUUCUGAAAAUCAAUUAAAGAACUGUUUAUGCUAAGCUGUUUAGACUUUAUCAGCUAUCUGUUUAGUUUUGAGCUUUUCCUUUAAUGCACUUUUCAGUUAACAAGUCAACAUCAAUUUCUUUUGCUGUAAAAAAGCUUGAGGAAGGUGGCUUGAGAUUCGUCUUAAGUGUUUAUAGCCUCUUGCCUAUGCAGUCGGAGAGAUUGAGGUCUGCAGCGUAGAUCCUUCGGGGCUAAAUGCAUUUGUGCUAAGUUAUAGCAUUUUAUAGACAACUUGUUGACUAUGAUUUGUCUUGUAGCUUACUCGCUUAUGUUAUUUUACCUACGCUUAGGAUGUUGAGCGCAUGUCUCUCUCU
rnacentral:rRNA from 1 species